UACGGAGGGUCCAAGCGUUAUCCGGAAUCAUUGGGUUUAAAGGGUUCGCAGGCGGUGGUUUAAGUCAGUGGUGAAAUCCUACAGCUCAACUGUAGAACUGCCAUUGAUACUGAAUCACUUGAAUAUAGUUGAAGUAGGCGGAAUGUGUAGUGUAGCGGUGAAAUGCUUAGAUAUUACACAGAACACCGAUAGCGAAGGCAGCUUACUAAACUAAGAUUGACGCUCAUGAACGAAAGCGUGGGGAGCGAACAGG
rnacentral:misc_RNA from 1 species